rnacentral:rRNA from 1 species
CCAAUAGCGUAUAUUAAAGUUGUUGCAGUUAAAAAGCUCGUAGUUGAAUUUCGGGGUAGUAGGUUGGUGGUGCCACCGGUACGUACUGGUCUGACUGAUUCCUCCUUCCUGAUGAGUUGUAAUGCCAUUAAUUUGGUGUUGCAGGGAAUCUGGACUGUUACUUUGAAUUAAUUAGAGUGUUUAAAGCAGGCUAACGCUUGAAUAUAUUAGCAUGGACUAAUGAAAUAGGACGUUCGAUCCUAUUUUGUUGGUUUCUAGGAUUGACGUAAUGAUUAAUAGGGAUAGUUGGGGGCAUUAGUAGUCAAUUGUCAGAGGUGAAAUUCUUGGAUUUAUUGAAGACUAACUACUGCGAAAGCAUUUGCCAAGGAUGUUUUCAUUAAUCAAGAACGAAAGUUAGGGGAUCGAAGACGAUCAGAUACCGUCGUAGUCUUAACCAUAAACUAUGCCGACUAGGGAUCAGAUGAUGUUAAUUUUUUAAUGACUCAUUCGGCGCCUUACG